rnacentral:sRNA from 1 species
CGGAUGAACGAGGUAGUGAAACAUGCAACAAAGCUAAAUGAAGCAAUCUCUGUGAUGAAAGGUCUUCCGGUGGCAAGAGCUCAAAUAUCUUUUGGAGGAUACUACGAUGCACUUUGAAUCAUAGCCAUAUAGCCAUAGAUCCAAU